GAUGAACGCUGGCGGCGUGCUUAACACAUGCAAGUCGAACGAUGAAGCCCAGCUUGCUGGGUGGAUUAGUGGCGAACGGGUGAGUAACACGUGAGUAACCUGCCCUUAACUCUGGGAUAAGCCUGGGAAACUGGGUCUAAUACCGGAUAGGAGCGUCCACCGCAUGGUGGGUGUUGGAAAGAUUUAUCGGUUUUGGAUGGACUCGCGGCCUAUCAGCUUGUUGGUGAGGUAAUGGCUCACCAAGGCGACGACGGGUAGCCGGCCUGAGAGGGUGACCGGCCACACGGGGACUGAGACACGGCGCAGACUCCUACGGGAGGCAGCAGUGGGGAAUAUUGCACAAUGGGCGCAAGCCUGAUGCAGAGACGCCGCGUGAGGGAUGACGGCCUUCGGGUUGUAAACCUCUUUCAGUAGGGAAGAAGCGAAAGUGACGGUACCUGCAGAAGAAGCACCGGCUAACUACGUG
rnacentral:rRNA from 1 species